GUCUGAGAUAAAAUGUACACUAGGGUGCUGCAGCUAAUACCAGGAAACCUCAUUAGUAUUUGGAAAUCCAAGCUGCAUUCCAGGGGCUUAGAGCUCAUUAUCCAACUGCACAGACUUGAGAAGAAUUCAGGUUUUAAAGUGGGGCAACACUGACUUUGUGUGCCCUGAGCUUUCCACGCUGCUUCCCUCCAGUGGGUCAAGAAGAGACACUUUAGGGGCUUUUCUUUCCAGGUCUGAACCUGUAACAGGUGGGAUCUGUGAAGUGGGCUGGUCCCCUGUCCAUGGGGAUGUCUGUGGAACCACGGGAUGUGCUCACACCUCUGAACACACGAAAAUGCUGAUUUUGAGGCCAAAAGCACUAGUUGAAGCUAAAGCAUCAUCAGCUGAGAAGCUGAUAAAUAAUUUCUGAUGAUUCCUCUUUUAGCUUUGAAUCAUGGGCCUAGGGAAAGACUGAGAUACAGCAGGAAUUGUGGCUGUUCCAAAGACAAGCACGGGGAAGAGCUGGCAGGCCCAGGACAGUGUGAGCUGUGAUGCAGCACAGACUUAAAUAUGCAUGAGGUCUUUUCAUAUGCAGCAGGUGGGAUCUUUUUUUUCUUUUUCCCCCUUUGAAACCAUCUCUUUGAUUUAUCCUGAUGAAAAGAGAAUGUCCCCUUGCAGAUCCAUUGACUUUUGCAUUGGCCAUAACCUGAGUUUGCCUCUCUGGGAUCAGUUCCUUGGGGAGCAGAGAAUUUCGAAACGGGACAGUUUAAUGUGGAGUGGGAUUGGCACUUUCUGUUGCAAGAGGGCUUUUAGAGCUGAUUUCCUUGUAGGGUGAAGAUAAAAGCCUUUCACUGUUGCUUAACCUUUAUUUGGGGGCCAUUCUGUCAAGGAGUUCUUUUGCUUUGCAUUAUUUCUCCCUUCUUUUUGGCUUUUUGCUCUUGGCAGACGUUUCCACGUCCCCUCGGCCUUUUGUCCUCGGUUUUGGUUUACAUUCAUUUCAGUUAUGUGUUUUUUUUUUUUUAGGCAAGGACAAAACUGUGCAAGACAAAGCUGUGAACACGAAGGUGGGGAUGUCUGAAGGCUCCUUUGUACCGAGUCUGCUCCUCUUGAUUUAAAUUGCCUUUCAGGGGAAGCCCGUGGUUAACCAGCUUAUAACACAUAUAUUUGGCAUUUAUAUGCCUAGCCCUGCUAUUGAGCUCUAUUUCCAGGUGGAAAAAGGGCAAACUACCCUUUGCUUUCCUGUCCUGGAGUGGAGGGAGCUCCAACAAUUCCCUGUUUGCAAAGCCUCCUGAGGGUGAGAGAGAGAUCUGCCCAUUUGUCCAUUGGGAAGGCCACUGACCCUGUGAAUAUAUUGGCUGGAAAACCAUCCCAUCGGUGCUGCAAGACUGAAGGACUCCCAGAUUAAAUUCCAUCUUUAAAGCGUCCGAGAGCCUGAUCCGAUCUCCGAGUGCCAGUGAAGUCCAACCUGGAAUUCUCUUCCUGUGUUCCCCACAGUGUGAUUGGAGUGACUCCAGCUACAGCUUUUAGGACAUCAUGGCUUAAAUCCAAAUCCAAGUAUUUACAUCUAUAAAAUUAAGAAGAAUGUGGAGAAAUAAUUAAUGGUGUUCCUGAAGAAGGAAAAACCAAUGGGACAGAGAUGCUCUUCACCCACAGGCUUUUGUGGCUCCUGCUGUUUCUGACAGAGUUUGGUAACUCCAGGUAGCAGACAGCUCGUGGCUCUGCAGUGAGGGAGAAGAGGAAGGACCUGCACCCUGUGCUGAAGGAUCCAGGAGUCUCUGCCGCCCUGCUGUGCUCUCCAGGCCCUCAUACAUUUUUGAAGAGGUGUCUGCAGGAGACACUGCCUGGGCUUGUGAUGAACACCACACACGGAGUUCAAGGACUUCGGGGAGAACAUCCCAGACCUGUUCUGUCUGACGGCUGCUCCUGAAGUUCUGAAUUAGAUUAUUUGCCUCCUCUCCCUGUACAUGGGCAAAAAAAUGUAAAUAUAUUCCUGGAACCACAGAAUAGUUUGGGUUGGAAGGCACCUUGGAGAUCAUUUCAUUCCCCCCCACGCUGAAAUCCCUGGGGAAGGUGUCAGGGCACAGGAGAACAAAUUCCUGCCAAAACCCAGGUACCACACACGACACACCCCACGAGAAAUUCCACAGCCUGUGGAUAUCUUUGAAGGGAGAGCAGAGACAAUACAAAAGGUGCAAGAGCAAAUCCUGCAUUCCCGUGGUUGCCCCUGGGGGUCAAAGCAAUAAAUACUCUGUUUUCCUUGCUUGAAGUUUUAUCUUUUCUGUAAGAAUGUGAUUUUGCUUUCAAAAAAGCUUUAAUUCUUCUUGCUUGUGAAAACAAAUUUCCUCGCCAACCCAUAAAUAAUCACAGGGAAAAAAAAAUAAUAGCAGCCUAAUUUACAUCUAACCUUUCUUUUUAAUGAUUAAUGGGUACUAUUUAUGUAAACUGUUUCUACAUUCCGGCGUGAAAUGAAAUUUAAAUUGCAAAUUUUACAGUGGUGUAUUUUAACUGGUGACCCUUUCCCCAGUCACAAAUUAAAAAAAAAAAAAAAUCCCAAUUACAUUUGUAAUAAAGAUGCUAAUGCAUUUCUUGUUUUUUUAGGGCACGUGAAGUUCCUGCUGCCUGCAACUUUUAUUUUCCCCGUCGAGGAGCCAAUAAAAACAUGUUUUCCAAAGAGCUCCCAGACCCUGGGGUGGGUGUGGUGGGUGAGGAGGAGUUCUCAGCACAUCCACUUUGCAGCAGCAUCCACGGGCAAGGACACCCGCGGUGUCUGUCACUGCCCACUGCCCUGGUGUCGCUCGUGGUCGCUUCGUUUGAACCCCAGGAGGACACAGAAGGGGGAGAGGAAGGACUGGAGUGUUUUGCUGUGUCUGAUCCCAUCCAGUGUCUGAUCCCAUCCUGUGUCUCAUCCCAUCCAGUGUCUCAUCCCAUCCAGUGUCUCAUCCCAUCCAGGACCCCGCUCAGCUGAGGCUUUCAAAGGUCAGCACAGCUCUGCAGCCUCUCCUGGAAGGGCUGGUGGCCACUGUGAGACCCACUGAGGUGCAAUUAAAGGCGAGGCACUUGCAAGGUCCAGUGGAUUGGUCACAUCAGUUUUGGGGAAUGAGGAGGAACAGGGACUAUCCAAGUGUGUCUGGGAAAAAUGACACCAGAACUGAGUGCACUUUGCUGCUUGAGGGAUGCUGGAAACGUGGCCAAGAGCUGGAAGUAUUUUCAAGGCAGAAAAACUAGAUGGAACCACAUAAAAACUACUCGAGAAGUCAUUGGGGUUUUUUAGUUGCCUUUUCUUUUUUUUUUUUUUUUUUUUUUUCCUUUUUUUUUUUUUUUUAGAAGAGUCCUUUAUUUUUGGCUGGGAGAGGGGAGCUUUAUUCUAUUUUUGUAACAACAUACCGUCAGAAAAGCAGAGGACCAAGUGCAGUCUUUGUGUCUUUACAUGCACAGAGGGAAGUUGAAAGGUGGCAAGGACAAAACCCAGAACAGUGUGCAGGAAGGCAGAGCUUUGGUGCUGCACAGAACUGCUUUCUGAUGGUGACAGGAGGCAGAGAGCUGCAGUGCUCAUCACUUUUUGCUGCUCUGUGUGUCCAGCGCUGUGAAAAUGUUUUUCUUCACUCACAGGCUGAGCAAACUCCUUCUGUGAAACGUUAAAUGUGGAACCCCUGGGUGUCGUUGGAAGAUUUGCUUUGCAGAGGAAAAGAGCACUUUAAUGGCAGGUUUAUAAACCCUCUCAGCAAUCCUUCUGAGGACUGUGACAGGGAUGACCCCCAGGAAUUUCAAGCUGCCUUGUCUCCUGGCAGCACUGAGUUGUUCCUGGCUGUGGGAGGAGUUGUUCCCUUGGGAGAGGGAGCACCAUGGUGUGGUGGGAUUUCCUGGGAUGUGGAGCUGAGGGGGGGCAAUUUAACAGGGGCAAUCACCUCCCUUUGACUUGGAUGGAGCCAACAGCUCAGUGUCAGAUGCCUUGGGUGCUGCAGGUGGCUUUUUGGAGAGCUGCUCGUGGUGGGUGCUCAGAGCAGCAGGUACCAGCAGCUCCAGGGUGGCCAAAGGCAGAGCUGCUGUGGGGUAGGAAGCAGAGAACAAGGACGAUGGAGAGGGAUUUUAUUCAAGGUCGUGGAGUGGUAGGAGUAGGGGAAUGGUCUUAAGUUGGCAGGGAGUAGAGUUAGAUGGGAUAUUGGGAAGGAAUUGUUCCCUGGGAGGGUGGGCAGGCCCUGGCACAGGGUGCCCAGAGAAGCUGUGGCUGCCCCUGGAUCCCUGGGAGUGUCCCAGGCCAGGCUGGACGGGGCUUGG